AUGGCCUGGACUCCUCUGCUCCUCGUGCUCCUCUCUCACUGCACAGGGUCCCUCUCCCAGCAGCCUGUGCUGACUCAGCCGCCCUCCCUCUCUGCAUCUCCGGGAGCCACAGCCAGACUCACCUGCACCCUGAGCAGCGGCCUCAAUGUUGGUGGAUACAGGAUAAACUGGCACCAGCAGAAGCCUGGGAGCCCUCUCCGGUACCUCCUGAACUACCACACUGACUCAGAUAAGGGCCAAGGCUCCGGGGUCCCCAGCCGCUUCUCUGGAUCCAAAGACGCCUCGGCCAAUGCGGGGCUCCUGCUCAUCUCGGGGCUGCAGCCUGAGGACGAGGCUGACUAUUACUGUCUGAUCUGGUACAAUAAUGCUCCCACAGUGACACACACAGAUGGGGAAGUGGGACAAAAACCUUGGCCUCCACCAGAGGUGAGCGAGCUGGACGGUGGCUGGAUGCUGAGCUGCUCCAGGAAGGAUGCGGGCGCCUGGGUCUAUGGGGGAGACGCUCUCACAGCUGACGCCACUCAGGCCCAUGGGGCUCCCGUGAAUGGGGUUCCCUGA